rnacentral:rRNA from 1 species
AACGAACGCUGGCGGCAUGCCUAACACAUGCAAGUCGAACGAGACCUUCGGGUCUAGUGGCGCACGGGUGCGUAACGCGUGGGAACCUGCCCUUAGGUUCGGAAUAACUCCCCGAAAGGGGUGCUAAUACCGGAUAAUGUCUUCGGACCAAAGAUUUAUCGCCUUUGGAUGGGCCCGCGUUGGAUUAGCUAGUUGGUAGGGUAAAAGCCUACCAAGGCGACGAUCCAUAGCUGGUCUGAGAGGAUGAUCAGCCACACUGGGACUGAGACACGGCCCAGACUCCUCCGGGAGGCGGCAGUGGGGGAUAGUGGACAAUGGGCUAGAGGCAGAUCCAGCAAUUCCGCGUGAUUGAAGAAGGCCUGAGGGUUGAAAAGCUCUUGUACCAGGGAGGAUAAGGAGCGGACCGGGAGAAUAAGAUGCGGCGAACUCCGUG